rnacentral:rRNA from 1 species
GAUGAACGCUGGCGGCGUGCCUAAUACAUGCAAGUCGAGCGAACGGACGAGAAGCUUGCUUCUCUGAUGUUAGCGGCGGACGGGUGAGUAACACGUGGAUAACCUACCUAUAAGACUGGGAUAACUUCGGGAAACCGGAGCUAAUACCGGAUGAUAUUUUGAACCGCAUGGUUCAAAAGUGAAAGACGGUCUUGCUGUCACUUAUAGAUGGAUCCGCGCUGCAUUAGCUAGUUGGUAAGGUAACGGCUUACCAAGGCAACGAUGCAUAGCCGACCUGAGAGGGUGAUCGGCCACACUGGAACUGAGACCCGGUCCAGACUCCUAAGGGAGGCAGCAGUAGGGAAUCUUCCGCCAUGGGCGAAAGCCUGACGGAGCAACGCCGCGUGAGUGAUGAAGGUCUUCGGAUCGUAAAACUCUGUUAUUAGGGAAGAACAUAUGUGUAAGUAACUGUGCACAUCUUGACGGUACCUAAUCAGAAAGCCACGGCUAACUACGUG